UACGGGGGGGGCAAGCGUUGUUCGGAAUUACUGGGCGUAAAGCGCACGCAGGUGGCUGAGUAAGUCGAUUGUGAAAGCCCUGGGCUUAACCUGGGAAUUGCAUUCGAUACUGCUCAGCUAGAGUAUGGGAGAGGGUAGUGGAAUUCCCGGUGUAGCGGUGAAAUGCGUAGAUAUCGGGAGGAACAUCAGUGGCGAAGGCGGCUACCUGGCCCAAUACUGACACUCAGGUGCGACAGCGUGGGGAGCAAACAGG
rnacentral:rRNA from 1 species